UAUUAUUAUUUUAACCGUGAUUCAUGAAAUUUGACUGUAAUUGUUGAAAUCGUAAUUAAUUGCAUUGUUGUAUGAGCACGUUGUAAAUCAUCUUACCUGAUAAGAUAACGGCUGUUCGUCUGUUAUUUUGGUUGCCAAGGCCACGCCUAUUCAAUGUUUUUGUUGUCAAUUUGCAUGAGAUGCCAACAUGACAACAGGUGUAACGCCCUAAUUACUUAUAAAUUUUGAAUUAAACUAUAACGUUUGAUUAAACAAGGGAAUAAUUAAGUGAAUUUUGCAUUAAAAUCGAUUCCUUUUAUAUAAUUAAGAAGAGAUUCCUGCUGAAAUUAAGCCGUUAAUAUCAAUUUAAUCCAUUUAUUUAUAAACCAGAAAACUCGUCUAAUGAGCGUCUCUUGUAAAGAAAAAUAUCAAAUUACUCGCAAUGAGUCUUUUUUUUUUGUACACAGAUGUUCUGUUGACAUGUUUUUGCCAAUGAAAAAUUGCUAAAAUUGUUAAUAUGU